rnacentral:rRNA from 1 species
AAUUCGAUGACAACGCGAAGAACCUUACCAAGGCUUGACAUACACCGGUAACGCCCAGAGAUGGGUGCCCCUUUGUGGUCGGUGUACAGGUGGUGCAUGGUUGUCGUCAGCUCGUGUCGUGAGAUGUUGGGUUAAGUCCCGCAACGAGCGCAACCCUCGUCCUAUGUUGCCAGCGGGUCAUGCCGGGGACUCAUGGGAGACUGCCGGGGUCAACUCGGAGGAAGUGGGGAUGACGUCAAAUCAUCAUGCCCCUUAUGUCUUGGGCUUCACGCAUGCUACAAUGGCCGGUACAAAGGGCUGCGAUACCGCGAGGUGGAGCGAAUCCCAGAAAGCCGGUCUCAGUUCGGAUUGGGGUCUGCAACUCGACCCCAUGAAGUCGGAGUCGCUAGUAAUCGCAGAUCAGCAACGCUGCGGUGAAUACGUUCCCGGGCCUU